rnacentral:rRNA from 1 species
AGUGAACGCUGGCGGUAGGCCUAACACAUGCAAGUCGAACGGCAGCACAGUAAGAGCUUGCUCUUACGGGUGGCGAGUGGCGGACGGGUGAGGAAUACAUCGGAAUCUACUUUUUCGUGGGGGAUAACGUAGGGAAACUUACGCUAAUACCGCAUACGACCUACGGGUGAAAGCAGGGGAUCUUCGGACCUUUCGCGAUUGAAUGAGCCGAUGUAGGAUUAGCUCGUUGGCGGGGUAAAGGCCCACCAAGGCCACGAUCCGUAGCUGGUCUGACGGGAUGAUCAGACACACUGGAAGUGAGACACGGUCCAGACUCCUACGGUAGGCAGCAGUGGAGAAUAUUGGACAAUGGGGGCGAGCCUGAUCCAGCCAUACCGGGUGGGUGAAGAAGGCCUUCGGGUUGUAAAGCCCUUUUGUUGGGAAAGAAAAGCAGCAGGUUAAUACCCCGCUGUUCUGACGGUACCCGAAGAAUAAGCACCGGCUAACUUCGUG